GAAUCAUGUACAACGUGAACAUAAAAAGAUAGAGUGUGAUCAGUGUGGAAAAUGUUUCAGUUCGUACGACGCGAGAUGGAAUCAUGUACAACAUGAACAU